GACGAACGCUGGCGGCGUGCUUAACACAUGCAAGUCGAACGGAAAGGCCCUGCUUUUGUGGGGUGCUCGAUUGGCGAACGGGUGAGUAACACGUGAGUAACCUGCCCUUGACUUUGGGAUAACUUCAGGAAACUGGGGCUAAUACCGGAUAGGAUCUCCUGCUGCGUGGUGGGGGUUGGAAAGUUUCGGCGGUUGGGGAUGUACUCGCGGCUUAUCAGCUUGUUGGUGGGGUAGUGGCUUACCAAGGCUUUGACGGGUAGCCGGCCUGAGAGGGUGACCGGCCACAUUGGGACUGAGAUACGGCCCAGAAUCCUACGGGAGGCAGCAGGGGGGAAUAUUGCACAAUGGGCCGAAGCCUGAUGCAGCAACGCCGCGUGCGGGAUGACGGCCUUCGGGUUGUAAACCGCUUUCGCCUGUGACGAAGCGUGAGUGACGGUAAUGGGUAAAGAAGCACCGGCUAACUACGUG
rnacentral:rRNA from 1 species